rnacentral:rRNA from 1 species
AGCCGAACUGAGAGGUUGAUCGGCCACAUUGGGACUGAGACACGGCCCAAACUCCUACGGGAGGCAGCAGUAGGGAAUCUUCCACAAUGGACGCAAGUCUGAUGGAGCAACGCCGCGUGAGUGAAGAAGGCUUUCGGGUCGUAAAACUCUGUUGUUGGAGAAGAAUGGUCGGCAGAGUAACUGUUGUCGGCGUGACGGUAUCCAACCAGAAAGCCACGGCUAACUACGUGCCAGCAGCCGCGGUAAUACGUAGGUGGCAAGCGUUAUCCGGAUUUAUUGGGCGUAAAGCGAGCGCAGGCGGUUUUUUAAGUCUGAUGUGAAAGCCCUCGGCUUAACCGAGGAAGUGCAUCGGAAACUGGGAAACUUGAGUGCAGAAGAGGACAGUGGAACUCCAUGUGUAGCGGUGAAAUGCGUAGAUAUAUGGAAGAACACCAGUGGCGAAGGCGGCUGUCUGGUCUGUAACUGACGCUGAGGCUCGAAAGCAUGGGUAGCGAACAGGAUUAGAUACCCUGGUAGUCCAUGCCGUAAACGAUGAAUGCUAGGUGUUGGAGGGUUUCCGCCCUUCAGUGCCGCAGCUAACGCAUUAAGCAUUCCGCCUGGGGAGUACGACCGCAAGGUUGAAACUCAAAGGAAUUGACGGGGGCCCGCACAAGCGGUGGAGCAUGUGGUUUAAUUCGAAGCAACGCGAAGAACCUUACCAGGUC